GACGAACGCUGGCGGCGUGCUUAACACAUGCAAGUCGAACGGAAAGGCCCUGCUUGCAGGGUACUCGAGUGGCGAACGGGUGAGUAACACGUGGGUGAUCUGCCCUGCACUUCGGGAUAAGCCUGGGAAACUGGGUCUAAUACCGGAUAGGAGCCAUUUUUAGUGUGAUGGUUGGAAAGUUUUUUUCGGUGUAGGAUGAGCUCGCGGCCUAUCAGCUUGUUGGUGGGGUAAUGGCCUACCAAGGCGGCGACGGGUAGCCGGCCUGAGAGGGUGGACGGCCACAUUGGGACUGAGAUACGGCCCAGACUCCUACGGGAGGCAGCAGUGGGGAAUAUUGCACAAUGGGCGCAAGCCUGAUGCAGCGACGCCGCGUGGGGGAGGACGGCCUUCGGGUUGUAAACUCCUUUCGCUAGGGACGAAGCUUUUUGUGACGGUACCUAGAGAAGAAGCACCGGCUAACUACGUG
rnacentral:rRNA from 1 species